rnacentral:rRNA from 1 species
UAAAGGGAGCGCAGGCCGCCCGAUAAGCGUGUUGUGAAAUGUACCGGCUCAACCGGUGAGUUGCAGCGCGAACUGUCAGGCUUGAGUGCACGGUAAGCAGGCGGAAUUCAUGGUGUAGCGGUGAAAUGCUUAGAUAUCAUGAGGAACUCCGAUUGCGAAGGCAGCUUGCUGCAGUGCGACUGACGCUUAGGCUCGAAGGUGCGGGUAUCAAACAGGAUUAGAUACCCUGGUAGUCCGCACGGUAAACGAUGGAUGCCCGCUGUCCGCCCAUUCGUGGCGGGUGGCCAAGCGAAAGCGUUAAGCAUCCCACCUGGGGAGUACGCCGGCAACGGUGAAACUCAAAGGAAUUGACGGGGGCCCGCACAAGCGGAGGAACAUGUGGUUUAAUUCGAUGAUACGCGAGGAACCUUACCCGGGCUUGAACUGCCGGCGAACAAUACAGAGAUGUUGAGGCCCUUCGGGGCGCCGGUGGAGGUGCUGCAUGGUUGUCGUCUGCUCGUGCCGUGAGGUGUCGGCUUAAGUGCCAUAACGAGCGCAACCCCUCUCUUCAGUUGCCAUCAGGUGAUGCUGGGCACUCUGGAGACACUGCCACCGCAAGGUGUGAGGAAGGUGGGGAUGACGUCAAAUCAGCACGGCCCUUACGUCCGGGGGUAAAAAACGUGUUACAAUGGGGCAUACAGAGCGUCGGUUCAACGCAAGUUGGACCCAAUCUUCAAAGUGCCUCCCAGUUCGGACUGGGGUCUGCAACCAGACCCCACGAAGCUGGAUUCGCUA